UGAUAGGAAUGCUUAGUGGCGGACUGGUGAGUAACGCGUGAGGAACCUGCCUCUCAGAGGGGGACAACAGUUGGAAACGACUGCUAAUACCGCAUGACACAUCGGAAGGGCAUCCUUCUGAUGUCAAAGAUUUUAUCGCUGAGAGAUGGCCUCGCGUCCGAUUAGCUAGUUGGUGAGGUAACGGCCCACCAAGGCAACGAUCGGUAGCCGGACUGAGAGGUUGAACGGCCACAUUGGGACUGAGACACGGCCCAGACUCC
rnacentral:rRNA from 1 species